CUACGGGCGGCAGCAGUGGCGAAUAUUGGACAAUGGGCGAAAGCCUGAUCCAGCAAUGCCGCGUGUGUGAAGAAGGCCUGCGGGUUGUAAAGCACUUUCAGUAGGGAGGAAGGCAUUAACUUUAAUAGAGUUGAUGAUUGACGUUACCUACAGAAGAAGCACCGGCUAACUCGUGUGCCAGCAGCCGCGGUAAUACAGAGGGUGCGAGCGUUAAUCGGAAUUACUGGGCGUAAAGGGUGCGUAGGUGGCAAGAUAAGUUAGGUGUGAAAUCCUCGGGCUUAACCUGAGAAUUGCGCUUAAUACUGUCUCGCUAGAGUACUAUAGAGGGUAGUGGAAUUUCCAGUGUAGCGGUGAAAUGCGUAGAUAUUGGAAGGAACACCAGUGGCGAAGGCGACUACCUGGAUAGAUACUGACACUGAGGCACGAAAGCGUGGGUAGCAAACAGGAUUAGAUACCCGAGUAGUC
rnacentral:rRNA from 1 species